CUGGAGAUGAUAUUUGGGGUGGAUCUGAAGUCACAAAAAAUUUUUUUCUUGAACCUGAAGAUGAAAAAUAAGAGAUCGAGAGCUCACUAAGUUAUGGGUCAUACCAUUUAAUAUAUGACAUAGAUAUUCUUCUCGAUCAUGAAAAAUGUUUACUUUUCAACGUAACAAUCCUCUAAACUGUUUUUGAAAAAAUGAAGCACCGCAAUCUAAAUGUUUACCAAAAAUUGAA